rnacentral:rRNA from 1 species
AUGCGGGAGUGCCUUCGGGAAUUAGAAUACAGGUGCUGCAUGGCUGUCGUCAGCUCGUGUCGUGAGAUGUUGGGUUAAGUCCCGCAACGAGCGCAACCCUUGUCCUUAGUUACCAGCGGGUUAAGCCGGGAACUCUAAGGAUACUGCCAGUGACAAACUGGAGGAAGGCGGGGACGACGUCAAGUCAUCAUGGCCCUUACGACCAGGGCUACACACGUGCUACAAUGGUAGGUACAGAGGGCAGCUACACAGCGAUGUGAUGCGAAUCUCAAAAAGCCUAUCGUAGUCCAGAUUGGAGUCUGCAACUCGACUCCAUGAAGUAGGAAUCGCUAGUAAUCGCGGAUCAGAAUGCCGCGGUGAAUACGUUCCCGGGCCUUGUACACACCGCCCGUCACACCAUGGGAGUUGAUUGCACCAGAAGUGGAUAGCUUAACCUUCGGGGGAGCGUUCACCACGGUGUGGUUGAUGACUGGGGUGAAGUCGUAACAAGGUAGCCGUAG